GAUUUAAAGUGAGAGGUUCUGGUUCAAUUUCUGGUUCAGGUUGAGGUUCAGAAGAUUGGGAUGAAGCGUAAAGAGGGUUUAAGUCUAAGGGUUCAGAUUCUGAUUCAGGUGCAGCGGGAAUUUUUUGUGGGGUGAUAUCAGAGGUGUGGGGAUCAGAUGGUUGAAUUUCAGAGGGUUGAGUUUCAGAGGGUAUGGUGGUUGUUUGUUGUGGUGGAGGUGAAGUUGCUUCAGAUUGUGUUUGUGUUUGUUGUUGUGAAGCAAGUCUAUGAGCAUAAAGUGUGGCUAUGGUUGGGGAUUCAGGAUCAGAAAAUUCUUGGUC
rnacentral:lncRNA from 1 species